UGCUGGGCUGGCCCACACGCGCUUGCGUUGAACCGUGCUCGUGCGUGGGUCUGGUCUAGGCCUAGCCUGCCUGCUGGGUCCGGGUCGGGCUUCUCACAUGGGCUUCAUCCUAAUAAUUUUUCCACUUGAAGACAUGUGCCGAACUCACGAGAACGUCAUCCCUGGAGGCCUUGCCAAUCUCCCACUCCUCAUGUAGCUUCA
rnacentral:lncRNA from 1 species